UCUUUGGCCGCCUCCAGGCACACCUCUCUGGGCUGGCACGAGGUCCGCUGGAUCUCCUCCAGGAUGACUGGAAACAUAUGGGAUUAGGUCUCAACGUGACCACGUCGAAGACAAGACUAAGAGGCUCCAGUGGCACGCAGACAUCUGCAGGCUGAUGGAAACAACGUUCCUCUCAUGGUGAAGUGUAGAGGCGACAAAUACCAGCGAAGCAGUUACCCUCAACUGUAAAAUAAAUUACGGGGAAGGCGGACGGACACAAGGAGGCCGACAGCGACGCGGAAGGAGGAAGAGGUGUGUCUGGGAAACUCUCCAUUGAGAAAACAUCCGAUUUUUGGGCCAGUCACUGCCGGCCUUUUCAAGGAUUAAAGACGCACCCCCCCUCCCUCCCUCCCCCCGUUCCUCCCCCGCACACACACACACACACAGCGGCAAGUGUCUGCUUGCAGCACGCUUUAUGUGUUGAAAUCCGAGCAAUCAAAGUCCACAUUCCAGUCAUUGCUUUCUCCAUUUCAUCAUGCGAGCCGGGAGCAAAGAAUUCGAGACGUUUAUCAGCUUGUAAUGGCGGGAUUCAUCCCGUUCAGUCGGAGUCGAUGGCACCAAGAGGCUUCAUCUGAUCGUUGUGUACGAUACAUGCAGCUUGCGCUAAAGUCGAGUGAGAAUAAAAAUAAUAGAAAAGAAACCUUGCGGAGCUUCUCAAAAUCAAGCAGUCGAACUAUUUGAGGUUCAUGCCUCAAACAAUUAUUCUAACGGCUCAUAUCAGAUUUUUCGCAGGAUAACUAAAGGAAUGGAAAGGUAUGUGUUGAAUCAUCACAUCCUAUGAAAGGGAAACUACACGUUGCACUUAUCCUGACGAGGUUACUCGUGCAUUUAUGACAACGAGGAGCUUUGUAGAAAUCCACUUGAAGGACCCACGACGGCCACCGUGCGUGUCUGGACUGGAACCAGGCGAGUCCUCUGAGCUCC